CCUGUUGGGCUCCACGUCAGAUUCCAGGCCAGCUGGGCCGACGUGGGCAGCGUCAGCAGCAGUUUCAUUGGAAUGUGACAGGUUUGACAGGAGCCACGUUAUUAUCUUUCCCUUGGCUAGCGGCUCCACUGUCGGGCCGUGGUGUUGGGCAAAGAUCAGCGCGGGGGAUGGUCUGUGUCCUGGGAAGACACGCAACCAUAUGUUGGGUGUCCUGCCUCGUCACAUUAAUUGAUUGAUGCAGGAGAGUGAAGGACUGACUGCCUGCUUCCCUGAUACAACAAAGAUUAGGCCACCACCGCAGCCCAACAACCCCUUCGCGAGCUGGCAGAGUUGGAGAUGAGUAAGGAUGGACUCUGCUGCCUGUCAUUCCUGGUCUCCGAGUUGACCCGUCCAUCAUCACUGCUCUCUUCAGCGGGUGCUCCACCCAGCUCGUUACUCUAGUUGGCCCAUCUAUCAUCACUGCUGAAGAGCACCCAGCUCUGUCAAUCCUGGCUGUCUUCAAGUACAAGUGGAGUGAGUGUCUUCAUCAUCGCAGUUGUAUAGUAGAUGGAGCUGUGAAUGAACCAAGCCACACGUCAGCGCAAUGAGAUUGGUGGUCAAGAAAUCGUGGUGUUGCUGUUGAGGCUGGGAACACUAUGGAAAGAAAGACGUGUUUUAAACUUCAGAAGUUGCUAGUGAUAUAUAAUAUUUAAAGAAAAGCUCAAAUGUACUCUGCCAUAUAUAUAUAUAUAUAUAUAUAUAAUUGAUGUACAAGUAGAAAGAAAUAAAGGUUGUAAAAAAGCAAUAUACACUACUUUGCCAUGUCUUGUAAUUAUAUAUAUAAUAUAAUAAUAGGAAAAAAAUAAAUAACAUGAAUA
rnacentral:lncRNA from 1 species